rnacentral:lncRNA from 1 species
GAUGCUCCCAGGCUCUCCCGCAGUUUAAAGACUUAACUCAGCGGCUUUCAGGGCCUGUGGUUGAGGGACUCCGAAAGAACUGUUGCUGGUGGACCGGUUCAGGGUCUUGACUUCGCCACACAAAAGAACUUGAGAGCACGUCCAAAGUAAAGCUAAGACCUCUAGUACAGUGUUCAAUGGAACUGGUGAGAAAAGACGUCCUUGCUGUGUUCCUGAUAUGAAGAGGAAAGCAGUCCUUCUCCAUUAAAACCAUCAGGAAGAGGACAUUUUGUAGAGUCAUUCAAGGGCUUCAUUCAAGGGCUUCAUCAAUUUUGCAAGAAUAUUCUUUAAGUUUUUAUGUGGAAAUGAGUUAUAGUAAAGUAUUACUUGAGCACAGUGCAUGUCUUCUGUCUUCAGCCCAGUCAACUUUCACAUCCGGGUACUUCCAUGUGGCCAUCCUCAGAUGCAGAUCUAGAACAUUGCCACCACCCAGAGUCUUCUCACGUGAUUCUUUGCAGGUGUUAACUCCUCUCCACUCA